AACAAAGAAGUAAGAUUUACAUUUAGUUUCGACCUAAAAUUAAGGGAAUAUUCCUCAUGUUU
rnacentral:tRNA from 1 species